rnacentral:rRNA from 1 species
AGAGUUUGAUCCUGGCUCAGGACGAACGCUGGCGGCGUGCUUAACACAUGCAAGUCGAACGGUAAGGCCCCAGCUUGCUGGGGUACACGAGUGGCGAACGGGUGAGUAACACGUGGGUGACCUACCCUGCACUUCGGGAUAAGCCUGGGAAACUGGGUCUAAUACCGGAUAGGACUACACCGUGAGGGUGUGGUGGAAAGUUUUUCGGUGCAGGAUGGGCCCGCGGCCUAUCAGCUUGUUGGUGGGGUAAUGGCCUACCAAGGCGGCGACGGGUAGCCGGCCUGAGAGGGUGGACGGCCACAUUGGGACUGAGACACGGCCCAGACUCCUACGGGAGGCAGCAGUGGGGAAUAUUGCACAAUGGGCGGAAGCCUGAUGCAGCGACGCCGCGUGGGGGAUGACGGCCUUCGGGUUGUAAACUCCUUUCACCAUCGACGAAGGUUUUCUGACGGUAGAUGGAGAAGAAGCACCGGCUAACUACGUGCCAGCAGCCGCGGUAAUACGUAGGGUGCGAGCGUUGUCCGGAAUUACUGGGCGUAAAGAGCUCGUAGGUGGUUUGUCGCGUCGUCUGUGAAAUUCCGGGGCUUAACUCCGGGCGUGCAGGCGAUACGGGCAUAACUUGAGUACUGUAGGGGAGACUGGAAUUCCUGGUGUAGCGGUGAAAUGCGCAGAUAUCAGGAGGAACACCGGUGGCGAAGGCGGGUCUCUGGGCAGUAACUGACGCUGAGGAGCGAAAGCAUGGGUAGCGAACAGGAUUAGAUACCCUGGUAGUCCAUGCCGUAAACGGUGGGCGCUAGGUGUAGGGUCUUCCACGACUUCUGUGCCGUAGCUAACGCAUUAAGCGCCCCGCCUGGGGAGUACGGGCCGCAGGCUAAACUCAAAGGAAUUGACGGGGGCCCG